AAACCGCCUAGAGGUAAACGGGUGGAUCCGCAAAGUCGGCCCACGGAAUUCAGCUCGGAAGGCCGGCGCGGGCGGCGGGCAAGAGAUCUGAUGGGACUCUCCCGUCGUUCGACCGCUGGUCGGCCGUGUGCACUUUCCGCGGGCAGAGCGCCACGACCGGUUCCCGGGCGGUCAGAAGGCGGCGAGGAAGGUAGGUGGUUGCUCCGGCGGCCACUGUUACAGCCUCGCCUGUCCCGAUCCGCCGGGGGACCGAGGAGCCGCCGUCGGUCGCGGCCACUCCGCUCUCUAGGGGAGUUCGACUGGCAGAGACUGGGCAACCGUGUCUGCCGACCGCUCUCUGGGAUGGUCGGAGCGGGCCUGGCCGGCACAGGGUCGGUGGCGAAUCGGUCGGCCCUCCACCCGACCCGUCUUGAAACACGGGCCAAGGAGUCUAACAUGCGCGCGAGUCGUUGGGUAGUACGAAACCCGAAGGCGAAGUGAAAGCGAGGGCGCGCCUCUGGUGCGCUCAGGUGGGAUCCCGCUCCUCACGGGGAGUGGGCGCACCGCCGGCCCGUCUCGUCCGCGCUGUCCGUGAGGCGGAGCAAGAGCGUGCACGUUGGGACCCGAAAGAUGGUGAACUAUGCCUGAGUAGGAUGAAGCCAGAGGAAACUCUGGUGGAGGUCCGCAGCGAUUCUGACGUGCAAAUCGAUCGUCAAACUUGGGUAUAGGGGCGAAAGACUAAUCGAACCAUCUAGUAGCUGGUUCCCUC
rnacentral:rRNA from 1 species